CCAAUAGCGUAUAUUAAAGUUGUUGCAGUUAAAAAGCUCGUAGUUGAAUUUCGGGAUUAGUACGCUGGUCGUGCCUUCGGUAUGUACUGGUGUUACUGGUUCCUACCUUCUGACGAACCGUCAUGUCAUUAAUUUGGUGUGGCGGGAAAUCAGGACUGUUACUUUGAAAAAAUUAGAGUGUUUAAAGCAGGCUCGCGCUUGAAUACAGUAGCAUGGAAUAAUGAAAUAGGACGUUCGAUCCUAUUUUGUUGGUUUCUAGGAUUGACGUAAUGAUUAAUAGGGAUAGUUGGGGGCAUUAGUAUUCAAUUGUCAGAGGUGAAAUUCUUGGAUUUAUUGAAGACUAACUACUGCGAAAGCAUUUGCCAAGGAUGUUUUCAUUAAUCAAGAACGAAAGUUAGGGGAUCGAAGACGAUCAGAUACCGUCGUAGUCUUAACCAUAAACUAUGCCGACUAGGGAUCGGAUGAUGUUAUUUUUAAUGACUCAUUCGGCGCCUUACG
rnacentral:misc_RNA from 1 species